GGAAUCUUCGGCAAUGGGGGCAACCCUGACCGAGCAACGCCGCGUGAGUGAAGAAGGUUUUCGGAUCGUAAAGCUCUGUUGUAAGAGAAGAACGUGUGUGAGAGUGGAAAGUUCACACAGUGACGGUAACUUACCAGAAAGGGACGGCUAACUACGUGCCA
rnacentral:rRNA from 1 species